GGCUCCUACGCCUCCUCUAACAGUCACUGAUUCAGGGGGCGCUUGUUUUUCCUUUUUUUUGGUGCAUCCUCAAGCUGCUGGCUUUAAAAGGAACAUUCAACAGAAAUGUUUUGUGUUCCACAUCCAGUAGGUUGUAUCCAGCCCGGUUCAGAAGGUAUUACACACCUCAGAACGUCAAAGUCACCGACACCUGAGGGACUACUUUCUCAUGUCUGUACUGUAGGUGAAAGAGGGAGUGAUAAGGCUGAUUUGUGUGUACAGGGCGAGGGGUGGUACAUAUAAACUCAUUUUAAUGCAGUGUCUACACUCCUGUGUUAUUCUUCCACCCUUCUUCUUCCCUGCAUUGUCCAUUUCAACGUAUUGAUCUUGUACACAUAUUUUUCAAGGUAUCUUAAUUACUCGCAAAAGAAGCGGCGCCUUGGCCGGCGGACAACACAAAUAAGUUAAUUUGCAUUUCUGUGUUGUGAGUGUUUUGGCAGGCGCCACGCCGGUCCAGAUUGUAACCCCUAUUUCUGCCUCCAAAAACCUGCCUUGGAGGAGCGUCCACGGAGGGAUUAGGGAUUUAGUGGGGAAGGUAAGUGUGACUACAAGCUUUGGCUCGCCAUCUGCUCCCCAGCAGAGUUGAGGCCAACCUGUGCAGCCUGCAGCAAAGACCUGGGCACUGUGCUAACCGCGGUCUGAGCCAACCUGGCGCCCGCGGCCCCAAUCACCAACAGUCUGCUGAUUAGUUAAUACCAAGCCAAGGAAGGGAAAGAUGAAGAAGGAGAAAUCCUGGCUGUCCUCCUCUCUCCAUCUCCUUCCCUCCCUUGCUCUCUUUUGCCUGGCAGCGCCGGGAGACAGAUGACAAGGGUUUGUGGCCGUCUGAUCACCCCUGGGUGGGUAUUUUCUAAUUUAUUUAACGGCAGCUUAUUAAAGAAAAAACAAGAUGAAGAAGAGGAGGAGGAAGAAUGGAGAACACAGGCGGAAGGCAGGUCUCUUGCCCCAGUGGCCAGGGGAGGCAACCUAGCCAAGGAACAAACCAACGAAGAAGAGGAGGAUGCACCGAGUCCCCUGGUAGAGAAACCAGAGAAGAUCAAACGACACCGGAGGAGGAGGAGAGGAAAGGAGGGAAAAAACACAAGUCAGAGGUCAGGAGCAUCACUACUCCCAGAUGUCCAGCCUAACUGAUGGAGAAGCUCCACCAAGUUUCCUCAGAUGCUGUUUGGGGAGCUCCGUCCCGUCAGCUCCGUGACAUGGAAGCGACGGUGACACCGGAGAUGACGGACGUCUUUUUGUCUCCCGCAGUCAGGACGCCGCGCCGGGCCCGCGGACGACUGUAAUCGCUCGGACAGGUGACAUAUCUGUGGAAACCAGAAGAUGAUGGGGCAGACGACUCAAAUCAUGUGACCUGCACCUCACAUGCCUCCUCCUGUACAGUGUCAGAGGGUGAGGGGAAUGUUAUGGAAGAUGCACAUCCAAAAGUGACCAGCGUUCAGACACAAGGUGGGUAAAAAGAGAAGGAAUAGAUUCUCAAUAAACAACUAGAAGACACCAGGAGAUAGUAAAAGAUAUCAGUUUACUAUUCCACCCGAAUGUUUUUUUCAAACUAUUAAUCUAAAAUCAAAAGAGAAUAGUGUUUUGUCAAAUGUCAGAGUCUGGAGCCAUCAACUUAUUUAGCAGUAGUUUGAAAACUGACUUGAUGGAACAACUGUCUGAUAAUGCAGCGCUUUCUGUUCUUAAAAGAAAUGUCUUAUUUCAGAACCAGCUGAAAAAAAGUAGUUUUUUGCGACACUUAGUUAUGGAAUUAUUAGAGGGUUUGAAUGUGGAUUCCUUUACUUGUUUAACUCCAUAAACUAGGUGACAGUGUUUAUGCGGCCAGAAGACAUCAGAGAGAUCAGUGUGUCCUCCCUGUUGUAAUCUAGGCAGGACUCCCUAAACAAAAUAACUUCAUCUCCCUACCCGUGUUUGUUCUCUCAAGAAGUGUCUGGCCCUGCAUUGUGAAAGAAAAGUUUCCUGUCGUGUUUGUCAUAUUUGAAGCAGCUCGGCCCGUUUUGAAUAAUUCAGCGGCUGCCCGGUCGGAAAUAAAACAUAGAUAGUUAUGAGGCACAAAUAUGAACAUACAGCAUCUAAAAGCAUUAAGGAAACAGAGCUCCGGAGCGACAGAUGAGGACAGUGUGUUUCACUGGCUGGACGGAGUCUUACCUCCCCCCCCCACACACACACAUCACCCCCCUAAUGAUGUGUGGCCUGUCAGAGACACGCAGCCAAAUGACAUGCAGGACUACAAAAGCCUUCGUCCGAGUUUCUCUGUCUGCGCAACUCCCUGCAAAACAAUAACUGGGAUUCAGCAGCUGCAAAUUGCACUAACAUUUCCCCAUUCUCUCUCUGUGAAUUAUUAAUGAGAGCCAAACCAAAAAAAAGACACAGAAAAAGUGGAGAGGGUGGGGUGGGGGGAGAAAUAUCCACAGCAUGCCCGAGCAGUGGAGAAUGCUAUGAAGCCGUAAUUAUGCCAGAGAAUGAGAAAUGGAACAAAGUUGUUGGAGCCAGAAACUGAGACUAAGAGCUGGAAAUGUCGAGCUCAGAGGCUGAAGAGAAGACGUUUCAUUAUGCAAAAAGCCAAAGGAUCUGCAGGAUCGACACAAUUAAAACCGCGAGGUACAACACAUUAGCAUCCGUGUCUGUCAGGUUUGCUUUGAGAGUGAGGGAAGAAGGAGAGGUCAGAACGCCCCACAAUCUACAGCUUCUCACUCCAAAUGUGUUCACUUUUUCAGCCAGACUUAAAUCAAUUGUUGCACCAAAUGUAAAUGAAACAACUUACUGCCUAUCUUGAGAGCAAUUUACAUGUUUUUAUAAUAUGUGUGUAUCUGAUUGUCUCCUAUAAAGAAUAAGAUAAAGGUAUUAUCUCACACACUUAAUGACAAAUAAUUAAUACAAUUGAAAUUAGUAUGAAUACAGCAACAAGUUGUUUUCACAGAAGACAGAGAUAAGAAAAUAACGUAAUAAUACAAUGUGAGAUUAAUCCCAAAAAAAAGAACCAAAAGUAAAAACAUCUUGCGUCUCUUAGAGAUACAGAGGAACAUAAUAGCGUAGAUAAAUAAAUACAAAUGUUUACUGAGGCGGAUAAUGGUUUUUAUUAAAUAUCAGAUAAAGUAUUAAUAUCACAUUGUAAAAAUACUAAAAUGCAAGUAAAAGUGCCACAUUCCAAAGAAUAUACUCGGAAGACAUUUUAGAUUAUAGGGAAAUGUUUUAUAUUGCACUUGAACUCAAAUAUUUUAAUGUGUGUAGAUGUACAGUAGGUAGUGUGCUGCAUUUCAAUGCUGAUAUGUUUUUAUAGUAAGUUGGGCUUUAAUAUAUUUUCUUUUACAAUCUUUUAUUAAGGACAUUCAGCAGAGAAUAUGUGUUCGGAGCAAAUGCAUCAUCAGAUUACCAUAAGAAACAUAGUUUAAGUUUAAGUUGUGUGUAAAAAUGACAAAAUAUUGUUGUCAAAAGGUUAGGGUUUUUCAGAUGUAGAAAAGAUUACAUUGAGAUACAAACACUCACACAUACACACACACACAAUGAGGAGGAGGCAAAGGAGUCCCUCAGGGAUCGGGAACCGUGUGUGUGUGUGUGUGUGUGUGUGUGUGUGUGUGUGUGUGUGUGUGUGUGUGUGUGUGUGUGUGUGUGUGUGUGUGUGGUGUGUGUGUGUGUGUGUGUGUGUGUGUGUGUGUGUGUGUGUGUGUGUGUGUGUGUGUGUGUGUGUGUGUGUGUGUGUGUGUGUGUGUGUGACUCAGGGUUGAAGCAGUCCUGCUGUUAAGACGUCCUGCAGUGUUUCCUGGUGCUGCUCCGCCAUCUAGUGGCUGCUGACAGGAAGUGACAACAGGAGGGUUCAAGGUCGCUGUGCAGUUAUUUCCAGCUCGUCUUCACUUUGAUCCGUGUCUGGGAAUGACAAGGUGCAUCAACGAGACGAGGUGUCCGCCAGGAAAAAAACGGCAUCAACAAGGAUCUGCUCCUGAAAUGUGGAAGAUGGAUGGAGCGGCAGCUUUAAGGGCACAUAAUGGGUGUGAGGACAUUUAUACAUCCCCUUUUUAUUAAGACUUCCACAUAAGAUGCACCUGUGUUCCCUCGCUCCUCCAAAACACUCCUCUCUCCUCAAGGUGCAUUCAGGGACCGAGGAACGUCCUUUAAAGUGGAGGGUGAACCUUUUCAGCGACCUAGUUUUAGGCCAAAGUCCAGACACUUUCUUUCCACCUAAAUAUUAGAAUUAGAACUGCAGCGAUUCAAUAUUUAAUAGCCCAAAGAAACCUGGCAGAAAGUAACCACGGAUUCAAAAAUACUUGAAGUAAAAUAAAUCAAGCAAAAGAAGCUUAAGUUGAUGUUAUGAAAAGCACACUUUGCCCAUUAACCCUGAUAGUGGUAAGUUCAUCCUGUGAGUUUUCUAGUAACUCUUACUGUCACUGUUUACCGUAUAUGUCUCUGCUUCUUGACAAUAAGACUAGUUCAGUAUAAUCAUUUCUUUAGUGCUCAACGAGUAUCGAGGCCUGUUUCAUGUCUGUAUUGAUCAUUAGGACUUGUCAGAAUAUCUGGAUUACUUCCCCAAGAUAUAUCAUAUUAGCACAUGAUUGCAUUAUUUAUAUAUACAUACAUUGUUCAUUUCAUAUUUCACUUUAUUCUUUAGCAGAACAUGUACCAGCUUUUGUAGUAUUUUAGUCAACUGUAUACUUUGUAUUUAUAGUGUUCUGAAAAAAAAUCAGCAAUUCUGUUUUGUAAUGUCAUGUCAGUGACACACAAUCAAUGCAGCAUUGUGUUUCUGCUUUAAACAAGUGAGGAUCUCCCCCUUUUGGGGAUUUUAGUCCAACUGUAUUUGCAGUUUUUUGAAUGGCUUCCGAUACUUUUCAAUACAACAGAAAAGUAGGACUGUUGACAUUUAGAAACACAAUACUAUGGCGUUGAACCCCCUCCCAGGUCAUUGAGCAUGCCCUGCUAGCUAAUUACAACAGGGCCUGUGGUUGUCUGCACCCCUGCCUCCCCCUGUCUGUGGGGGACGGAGGGAGGGUCACGCAGGGGUGGCGAGGGGGACAUAUGUCUGACGAAUGUGCCAUCUCCAUAAUUAGCAACAUUAAACACGCCAGGCGCUGACGACAAUCAAAACAUUUCACUUGUUGUCAAUUAUUCAUCACUUUGAAGGUUCUGAAGGGGUCGUUAAUAUGGAAAUAAGCCUGCGAUGCUAACAAGGUUGCAGUAUCUGAUUCCAAAUCAUUUGGGCACAGAUCACCCCCACUUUUUCUUUUAGGCUAGUAUUUAGCGUUUUCUUGCCUUUUCUGUCCCUUUUAUUGUGUGUUUUCGAGUCUGAGACAUAAUUGAAGAACAUCAAUCAAUCAAUCAAUCAAUGUUUAUUUAUAUAGCCCAAUAUCACAAAUGUUACAUUUGUCUCAGUGGACUUUAC